rnacentral:rRNA from 1 species
CACGUAGGGGGCAAGCGUUUGUCCGGAUUUAUUGGGCGUAAAGAGCUCGUAGGCGGUCUGUUGCGUCGGCUGUGAAAACCCGGGGCUCAACCUCGGAACUGCCUUCGAUACUGGCGAUCUUCGAGUCCGGGAGAGGUGAGUGGAACUCCGAGUGUAGAGGUGAAAUUCGUAGAUAUUCGGAAGAACACCAGUGGCGAAGGCGGCUCACUGGCCCGGUACUGACGCUGAAAUACGAAGCGUGGGAGCAAACAGG